UCAAAACAGCGGCCUUCGGGCCUCGCUGCACCCUUGUCUUUUGCGCACCGUAUUGUUUCCUCGGCGGGCUUGCCUGCCGGUUGGACAUCAUAAAACCUUUUUGUAGUCGCAAUCAGCGUCAGAAAAACAAUAAUUAUUA
rnacentral:misc_RNA from 1 species